rnacentral:rRNA from 1 species
UACAGAGGGUGCGAACGUUGCUCGGAAUUACUGGGCGUAAAGCGCGUGUAGGCGGAUUGCUAAGUCGGGCGUGAAAUCCCCAGGCUCAACCUGGGAACUGCGCUCGAAACUGGCAGUCUCGAGUAUCGGAGAGGGUGGCGGAAUUCCUGGUGUAGAGGUGAAAUUCGUAGAUAUUAGGAGGAACACCGGUGGCGAAGGCGGUCAUUUGGACGAUUACUGAUGCUGAGAUGCGAAAGUGUGGGGAGCAAACAGG